rnacentral:lncRNA from 12 species
CGGUGAGCUGUCACAGUGAAUUGUCACUGGCCAGGCUUUCUUGGUGCUGUUGUGACUAAAUUCAGUUAUCCAUUUACCAUCACAGCCCCAGAUACAGUCAUUUACUUACGAAAUGUUUUAAUAAGCCAGAUAUCAUUUGUGCUCAUUUUCACUUGGCUUGACAGGCUCGAAGAUGUUUUACUUCAUGUCCAAAGCCCUCAGCAGCAUCAGCUGGCCAGACUGCCCCAUGGAGCUGGUUCUCUGAGGAAGAAGAAUCUCUGGGAAAGGCACAAGAGGGCCUUCCAUCCUUCUCUUACUGAUGCUCUUGACCUGAGUUCCUUGGGUGCUCCUCUGCAACUACCAAGGUGCAAAAUUUGCAAAAUUAUCUACUGCCUCCAAUCCCAGCCUUCUCCCAUCCUUGGGUGCUCCUUCCAGCUCUGUCUGGUAAGUCUCCUG